CAGCAGAUCAGCAGUUUGUGAAGCACUGGGACCAGUAACAUGUGCCAUGUUGCUCUGUUUGAGCAUUGAUUUGCUGACAUUUUAUUAUUUUAUUAACCUUUAUUUAACCAGGAAGAUGAAGCUGACAUGUGAUUGACAAAUGAAAUGAACACUGAAAUAUUUGUGUUACACCCUGAACAAGUAUACCUCAUAAAGUGGCCAGUGAAUGUAUAUAAGCAGUUGGACCAAUUUCAGUUCAUAGUAAUAUUCAGAAAAGAUGCAAAAGAAGAAGAAGAAGACAAAAGAAAAGAGCACAGUGACAAUAUUUAAAGCUCUGUGGUUAUAAAACUGGGGUUUCAUUACUUCACUCAGAGUUUCAGUAGACGUAAACUGUGUUUGAUUUGUGUUUUGAUUUCCAGGAAAUGAAAGUAAAUGAUUUUACUGACAAAUGCAUCUUUUCAAUGAUUUAGACACAAACGAGGCCCACACUUCAGCAGACAAAUCUUUUUCCGUUUAUCUGCCCGGUGUUGUGAUCAUCUUUAUAACUGGAGUUAUCGUGGGAUUUAUCUACUGGAGGAAAAGUAAUGGGUCAGGAACAUCUGGAGUGUCUGUACCUGAAAAUCCCAACGGUUUGGAUGACGAUGAGCCAGAUCAGCCCUAUACAAACCUUCAGCAGCCAUCGAGUGAUUCCUACCAGACUAUCAUCUCAGUGAACCAUCAACACGACAACAAGACACGCUCAGCAAGAAGCACAGGAACUGUGGGAGUGGAUAAUAAAGCUCUAUGAAACAUUUUAAAGUAUAUAAAACUUUAGGUGACAUACUAAUAUAAUAAUAUUCAUAUAUUAUAAUAAACGUCCAUCUUUUCACACUGGAUAGUUGUUUCCCAGUAAUGGAGACCAUUCAGUCAUAAUACUCCAACUCAGGCUCUCAGAUUUAAUACAAUACAAACACAAUAAACUGUGGCAAACAUGACUCU